AGAGGCGGUGCACACCCUGAACAGAAGGAGAGAAAUGAGACAGGAGGAUCUCUAAACCUGGACAAAGUAAACUGAAGCUAUUUCCAUGUCUAGAUGACAGGAAACAUGGGGAGAGAGAUGAGUAACAUGUUGAGAUCUUAAGUGCUAAAGGUGAAGGGAAGUGGACUUCUCUUUAGAUUUUUUGAUGAUGUUUCACCUCUCAUCCGAAAGGCUUCCUCAGUUCUAAAAAUUGGCUGGACAGUCCCAAGUUAACGUUUUGGAGAGUCGUUAACCCACCCUGUCGUUAUGUGAGUCGUUAGGGUUACAUGAGCCCAGGUGUGACUCGUUGGUGGGUUGCUGCCCCACUCUGACAUCAUGUGAGUCGUUAGGGUCACGUGGCUCCAGGUGUGAAUGAGGGUUAAAUCGCCUGGGUGAGGAUCUCAAGGCUGCAUUACAGGUGGCUGAUAGUUGGUGUCGUUGGCCACCACCUCUGUUUAAAGAUGGACGUUCCACGUGGACAUAGAUGGCCUCACACCAUCUGUCCUCUCUAACAUGUUGAAGCUUCAGUCAGAUCCUAACUGGAGAUGUUGUGGUUAAAGGUUAGCGCCCUGACCUCCGGAACCAAACUUUUUUAGUGUGAUGUGACCACAUUUCACACGUACAAAUCUUUCUGUCUUUCACCUAAAACAGAAAAAGCAGAGGCCACGGCGACUGACUCAGAGCCCAAAACAGAGGAGGCACCAGCUCCCAGUGAGUGAGGUGCGACGUGAAUGACUCCACAGUUUGGAAGUGUCUCACUUUGUCUGUAUGCAUGAGUGAAAGUAUGUCUUCAUAUGUGUGUGUGUGUGUGUGUGUGUGUGUGUGUGUGAAACAGACACCAACUUGUUGCCAAGAUGCAGACCCUGUGAUAACCGCUUUCAGUCAGGGUUCCCCAGUCAUCACUGUGCCUUCUCCCCCCUCCCCAUGAUGGUGUAUGGCUGCAAUUUCUGCUUUGAAAACUGUACAUAGACAGAAUCUUAGUAGGUGUGUUUAGCUUCAGAGGGUGUAAUCAUUUCAGAAUACCUUAAAUUAUUGAUUCAAAUUUCUAUUUAAGUGUAUAGAAAUUUAUAAAAGCAGAUGUAUUGUAACUUCAUCCUAAGAGUUCAUUCUGUAGUUUUCUACAAAAUUACAAUUCAAAGGAAACCAAAGCCAAAAUAUAUUUGAUUUAUAAAAUUAUAUUCCGUUUAGGUAGCUGGCUUUGAUUUUACAACCAUGUUUGUAAUGAAUAUGAAGAGCUGGUCCACUGCAGGUUUACUGAGGACUGACUUUAAACAUCUGAUGAAUACAAAUGAGUUAACAGUAAAUGUAAGAGCCUUUUUUGUUGUUUCUGAUGUGUCAUGAUUUCUCUCUGGAAAGAAAAUCUGUAAUACGCUGUCAAAAAAUUAAAAGGGCCACCUUAAAAUCA